UACGUAGGGGGCAAGCGUUGUCCGGAUUUAUUGGGCGUAAAGAGCGUGUAGGCGGCCAGGUAGGUCAGCUGUGAAAACUCGAGGCUCAACCUCGAGACGUCGGUUGAAAACCACCUGGCUAGAGUCCGGAAGAGGAGAGUGGAAUUCCUGGUGUAGCGGUGAAAUGCGCAGAUAUCAGGAAGAACACCCGUGGCGAAGGCGGCUCUCUGGGACGGUACUGACGCUGAGACGCGAAAAGCGUGGGGAGCGAACAGG
rnacentral:rRNA from 1 species